rnacentral:rRNA from 1 species
UACGAGGGGGGCGAGCGUUGUUCGGAAUUAUUGGGCGUAAAGAGCUCGUAGGCGGUUUGUCACGUCGGCUGUGAAAACCCGAGGCUCAACCUCGGGCCUGCAGUCGAUACGGGCAGACUAGAGUGCUGUAGGGGAGACUGGAAUUCCUGGUGUAGCGGUGAAAUGCGCAGAUAUCAGGAGGAACACCGGUGGCGAAGGCGGGUCUCUGGGCAGUAACUGACGCUGAGGAGCGAAAGCGUGGGGAGCAAACAGG